rnacentral:misc_RNA from 1 species
GAUGAAGAACGUAGCGAAAUGCGAUAAGUAGUGUGAAUUGCAGAAUCCAGUGAAUCAUCGAAUCUUUGAACGCACAUUGCGCCCGCCAGCAUUCUGGCGGGCAUGCCUGUUCGAGCGUCAUUUCAACCCUCGACCUCCCUUUGGGGAAGUCGGCGUUGGGGACCGGCAGCACACCGCCGGCCCUGAAAUGGAGUGGCGGCCCGUCCGCGGCGACCUCUGCGUAGUAAUCCAACUCGCACCGGAACCCCGACGCGGCCACGCCGUAAAACACCCAACUUCUGAACGUUGACCUCGAAUCAGGUAGGACUACCCGCUGAACUUAAGCAUAUCAAUAAGCGGAGGA